AGCCUGCCCAGUGACUAAGUUAAACGGCCGCGGUACCCUAACCGUGCAAAGGUAGCGCAAUCACUUGUUCUUUAAAUGAGGACUAGUAUGAACGGCAUCACGAGGGUUAUGCUGUCUCCCUAUUCUAUUCAGUGAAACUGAUCUCCCCGUGAAGAAGCGGGGAUAAAAAUAUAAGACGAGAAGACCCCAUGGAGCUUUAAACUCAGUACCAACUGCCCAAUAAAAACCUUUUACCCCCUGCAGCUAUGGUUACUAGUUUUCGGUUGGGGUGACCACGGAGUAAAAAUCAACCUCCACGAUGAAAGAAACUAACAACCUAACCUAUGAGCUACAGCUCUAAGUAUCAAUAAAUUGACUAAUUGAUCCAAUUACUUGAUCAACGAACCUAGUUACCCUGGGGAUAACAGCGCAAUCCAUUUCAAGAGCUCAUAUCGACAAAUGGGUUUACGACCUCGAUGUUGGAUCAGGGUAUCCCAGUGGCGCAGCCGCUACUAAAGGUUCGUUUGUUCAACGAUUAAA
rnacentral:rRNA from 1 species